CAAGCGUCUGGGGUUAAGGAGUCGCUGCCAUCAGCCCCACUGAUGAGUCUAGGCGCAGUGACUUCGAGACGAAACGCAAA
rnacentral:hammerhead_ribozyme from 17 species